rnacentral:lncRNA from 1 species
UUUUCGACGGCCACCAUGCCUUCUCCAAUUUCAAACAUAAUAGACCCCCAAAAAACCAUAGUCAUUUCUCUCAUCCGCCAGCCGCCCCAUUUUCCUUUUUUCUAUCAUCUCUCUCAUCCUCUCUAACCUCUCUCAGCCCUGAAACCUAACACAAAUUGGUGCAAAACCACCGUGCGACCACUGUAAGACAUUGUUAGCCGAGAAACUAGCCUAGAACAUUCUCAUUUUCAUCAUCUCCUUUAAAAUCUCAAACUCCGAAACCUAAUCGACAAACAUGAAAGCCACAAAAUCUCAUCAUCACACCUUUACCCAUUUAAAUCCAACAUUAAGGCCUUGCAUGCACCCUUAGAUUCGGAUGAAUAUCCGACCUCAAUGUGAUGUUUGAUGACACAGAGAUCAAAUGCAAGUCCCUCUAGGCAAAAGCUUUGUCCGGAGGUCCGACAACUUCAACGACUAGUUCAAUCGUCACUUUUGAGAGGGUAAAUCUUCCCUACUUUUUCUCCUCUGAUUUGUUCCCUUGAUUUCGUCAUGAGUUUUAUCAUUAGUGUUCAUUAUUGUUCAUUUCCUUCAAUCAUUUUUGAAUCUGAGAGUUCCAAAUCUCCAACCUUAAUGUACAACUCUUUGUCUAUAAAUAUUGUCUUUAAUGACUUUACUUAAAACGAAUCAGUAGAUUAAAUACAACUAAACAAAAGGUAUUAAAAUCUCUCUAUUGCUCACGGUCUUUUAUCCUUUUUCUCUCCUUUAAUUCUAGUCGAGGUAAGUUGUUCUUGAGUUGAGUUCGGACACAAAUCCUAAAUUGUUAAAGCUAAGCCUUGUUUGUUUCCCUAAAGAAGGUCAGUGUGCCAUCAUUCAAUUUUAUUUCAAAUGAUUGAAUUCUGUGUAUGGCUUCUAGUGUAUAGUUAUUCUAUCUGAUUAGUCAAACGUGUGUUGAAUCUUAUGCGAGCUACCAUAUUUUCUUACCUUAUUAUCAUGAAUAAGAAGCAUGUUGAGAGAUUUGCCUACUUAGCAUGUUACUGCCACGAUAAAAAAUCCACCUAGUCGGGAUGCCACCUUACCCAACCCGCUAGGUAAGCCAAACAAUAGUAAACAUAACUCGAAUGAGAACAAUAAGCAUCAAUAAAUGAAAUAACUGAAUCUCUAUACAAUAACCCAAGGAUUUGAUAGUACAACUCAUGAGCCACUAAGACUUAGAUUUACAAAACUGGUAUGAAAUAAAUAAAACAUCUGUUUGGAAUGUACAUAACAUAUUACAAAUCUAAAACUACCAAGGACAAGUGGUAGCUAUAUCCGAAAAUCAAGUACAUCUUCAGUACCAGCUCCUCUCAUCCACAACAUCUCAGCUCCAAGGUCUGCGCACAAGGUGCAGAAGUGUAGUAUGAGUCCAACCGACCCCAUGCACUCAGCAAGUAUCAUAACUAACCUCGACAAAGUAAUAUAAGCAAGAAUUAUAAGUGAUACUCGCCAAUCACCUGUACAAUUCAUAAAUUCCAAUAAAUACAGAACAGUAAUAUGAUAGGAUAAUGAAAUCCCAGAUAAAACCACCCUGGUAAACAAAAGUUUCUCAACAUGCUCUGCUCAGUCAAGUAAACAGCCAAGGAUAUUUCAAGUAAAGAUAAAAUGCAAUAACCACCAUGGUAAGGAAGAUAUGAAAAUAAGUCAGGUAAACAACCAAGGAUAUUUCAAGUAAAGAUAAAAUGCAAUAACCAAAUAUCAAUCUGUUGCGUCGCGCAAUCCAAUCCAAUAGAAAUCACAAUACGGCUCUAAGGCCCACAUCAGAAUCUCAAUAACUGAACCAAAUAACUGAUCAGCCUUCCCAAGGCCCACAUCAACCAGAAACCCAUCGAUUUCUCAUAAUCCGCGUAUACACGAUCAAGAAGGAACAUGAAAGGGUGACCCUAGGGGGAUGGAUACAUAUCUACACGAUGCAAAAAUAACUCACGAGCUGUACAGACAACGCACGUACUAAUAAUAACAACCGCACGGAUAACUCACGUGUUGCACGGACAACUCACAUAUUGCAUGGACAACUCACGUGCUAAUAAUAUCAAUAUCUGGGAUCCGCACGGAAAACUCACGUGAUGAAUGGACAACUCAUGUGCCAAUAACAUUUCAACCCCAUGAACAACUCACAUUCUGCACGGACAACUCAUGUGAUCAAUAUCAAAAUCUGCCCAGCAUAGUCACAGGCUCAAUAUUACAAUCAGCUUGGCAUGGUCAUAGGCGCAAUAUUACAAUCUGUCCGGCAUGGUCACAAGCAUAAUAUAACAAUCCGCCAGGCAUGGUCACAUGCUACUAGUCCAAAGCAUAUCACACUCCUGGACUGGUAUAAGCUUAUAUAUGAAAAUGGGGCGGGGCGGGGCAAAACCUUAAUGGGGCAGGGUAGGGCAGGGUAGGGCAUAGUCCUAAUUGGGUAGGGCAAAGUCUUAAUGGGGUAGGGAUAGUUGUGCUUUUGCAUGCCAUUGAUGGAAAACAUAAGGUUUAUUGCAGAGGUUAUAUAUAUGUGCAUGGGAUCAAUUUUAUUACUAUUGAUGACUUGAUACUAUAUAUCUGUAUGAUCUGUUUUGUUAAAUUAUACGUACCUAUUAUCAACCUACCACCAUGUACGUGAAUCUCGUGGUGAAAAAGAUAAUUAAUUAGUAUAUUGCACACUAAAUCUAAUUUCUGGAUGUCUUUUUUUGGAUCAAAAUAUUAUCCCAAAGACAAAAUCUAAUUUUACUCUUACUAUAAUUAAAGUUCAGUAAUAAUGCUUGAUAUUAAACUUGACUGGCUCAAAGAAAGUUAAUCCAGUGAAGUCUUGAAUAUUGUUAACGGACUGCAGAAAAUAUAAGGGGAAUUCAGUCUUUGAUACAUUAUAUAACAUUGAUAAAAAUUUAUUCAAUAAAUAUGCAUAAAUAACUAAACAACAUUUUGAAUGUUUCAAUAGAAAGUUGAAAAGGUAAAAGAAAUUCAAAGCAUACUGCAAAAAUAAAAAAUAAAGAGAAAAAAAUAAAAAAGAGUCUAAACGGGGCAGAACGGGGCAGGGCCUAAUAGGGCGGGGUGGAGCAGGGCAAAAUUUUUGACAAACGGCUAAAUGGGGCAGGGCAGGGCGGGUCAAAAUUUUAGCGGGUCAAGGCUUGCCCUGCCCAACCCUACCCUGCCCUGCCCUAUUUACAUCCCUGUAUAAGUUAAAUGCUAAGGUGUAUGCAUGUGCAAGUGUGAUAUCAUAGCCCAAUCAGGUAAUUACAUCACACAAUAGCAACUGCCAGGUUCAAUUAGGAGAUCAACCUCUAUUUAACCUCAAACAUGGUUCAAAUAGCUCAUAACAAGGGAUACAAAUAAGAGAAACAUCAUAGCAUGAAGCUUAGCCAACAAUCCAAGGCAUAUCAUAGCCUAAAUACUAACAUGAGCAUGGAAAAUACACCGAUGCACACACAUGGGCUCAAUCCCCACACAUAUGCGCCACUCAUAUCAUGUAGCUAUCACAAAUAACUCGGGCAACUACUGCCUCAACCAUGUUUAGGUAAGAUAAUUACCUUAAGAAAGCCAAAAUAAUACUCUAGAAAAACCAUCCCGUGAAAAUCGACCUCCAAACGCCACAUAACUAGCCAAAAGUAACACAAAAUAUCAAGUAAUGGCAUAGGAAAGAAUCCAAAUGAUAAAGGUCGAAUCUUUAACCAAAACUCAAAUUCAACCAAAAGUUGACCCCGAGCCCGCACCUCUAAUCCCGACAAAACUCACAAAUGCCAACAACCCAUUUGAAACGAGUCCAACUAUACUAAUUUCACUCAAAUUCGACUUCAAAUUUAUGUUCACAAGUAAAUUAUUCACUUUAGAAAAGAUUAGGCAAAACCCCCAAAUUUCUCUUUUAGAUUCGUCAAUCAAAUGCCAAAAUCAAAGAUAGAAUCAUGUAAAAUAAUCAAAUUCGAGUAGAAAAUACUUACCCCAAUGGAAAUGGUGAAAAUCCUUUUCAAAAUCGCCCAAAUAUGAGCUACAAAUCUCAAAUUGUGAUAAAAUGAAUCAAAACCUCGAUAUAUAUUAAAUCUACACAGGGAUGUCGCAUUUGCGACAAAAUGACUACUUAUGCGGAAACGUAUAUGCGGCCUCAACCCCGCCUCUACGAAAAUGCCUAACCUCGGCCCAUGUCGCUUCUGCGACAACAUAUGCGCUUUUGCGCCCGCGCUUCUGCGCUCAAGAACCGCUCCCGCAGACACGCUUAUGUGACCAAGACUCAGCAUUUACGGUCUUCUCAUCCAGCAGUUCAUUUAUGCUUCUGCGACCACGAGCCUGCUUCUGCGGACAUGCAUCUGUAACCAACCCUCCGCAGAUGCGGAAGCAGCAGAACAAAAAAUCCUUCAGUAAUGCAACAUGAGACAAAACAGUCUGAAACCACCCUGAACCUCACCCGAGCCCCUCGGGACCCCGUCCAAACAUACCAACAAAUCCCAAAAUAUAACACGGACCAACGCGAGGACUCAAAUCACACAUAGUAACACCAAAUCGAUGAAGCACUAAUCAAUUCGAGCUUGAUGAACUAUUUCAAACUUCUACUUUUCAAAGUUACGCCGAACACGUUAAAACAACUCAGAAUCACCUCAAAUUUUUCACACAAGUUCCAAAUGACAUAACGAACCUAUUCAAAAUCUCGGAAUAACAAUCCAAACAUGAUAACAUAAAAGUUAACUCCCGGUCAAACCCAUGAACUUCCAAACCUUCAAAUUGUCAAGUUUCGCUACUUCAAGCUAAAACAUUCUAGAAACAUCCAAAUACUCAUCCAGGCAUACGUCCAAGUCAAAAAUCACCAUUCGGGCCUAACAGAACCAUCAAAACUCCGAUCCACAGAACUAUCAAAACUCCGAUCCGAGGUCAAAUACAUAAAAGUCAAACUAUGAUCAACGCUUCUAACUUAAAGCUUCUAAAAUAAGAAUCAUUCUUCCAAAUAAAUCUAGAGUCACUCGAAAACCAAGACCAAAGAUACAUGCAAGUCAUAAUACAUCAUAUGAAGUAAUUCAUGACCUCAACCACCAAAACAUUCUCCCCCACUUAAACAUGUGUUUGUCCUCGAACAUGCCACGAGUCAUUCCAAAGCCAUCAAAUCACUGUAUAAAUUUACCAUAGACAUACACAUGGGUGAUGCCAUGUCACCCCAAACUAUAUAAGCCUGAAAACACAACCUAAAUGAAGAUCUUUACUUCAACCUUAGUCAAUAAACCUUAGAACCCAAUUUCUAACAUCCAACAUUCAUCAUGAGACCCGAAUCUUGCAUCUAUUCAUUGUAUAAGUACAAACAAGAUAUAUCGAGCCAUAACCAUAACCCAAGAUAUACUUACAUGAUAUUCCACAUCACUCAGAUUCUCGUAGCAACAACUCCUAACCAUAAUAGCUUCCCAAGAACAAUCCCGAUACCGGUAGCAAACCCCAUAUCAAAUUAAACCUUGUUCUAAAACUUUGUAUACUGCCAAUGAUGAAAAAAACACGCAGAGACUCAUCACCACCCAUCAUAUUAACAAGUCAUGGAGCUCUCUCGUUCGACAAGAACCAUAGCCAAAUUCUAAGAUAACUAGUGACACUAUUCUUCCAAACAUACCUUAAUCAAAUCUGAUAGCACUUAUUCGAGGUGCAAUAACCUCAUCUUAACCAGUACAAGCUGGUCCACAAACAUGGAGCACCAGCACCACCUCGAGCAACAUACCGUGCAACCCUUACAGCAAACAAGCUAUAACUUGAAUGAAUGCAAUUAUGGAAAAAGAAUCAAAUAAGAGAACCAUCUCGCAUGCUCAUCAUAUAUCACCACAAAGCGUAAUGCUAUGAACCCAUAACAUAGGAGAAACAAAUACACGAGAUUAACACAAAUGAUCAUAUCCCAACAUAACUCUAUUGUGAUGCGUGGCCCAAUCCGAACACCGGUCCGUAUGGAAUAUCUCAAUCCAUGAUACUUAAAACCAAUAACCAUAUGCAUAUCGUCAAAAAACAGGCAAAGUGCAUGACCAUAACCAUGGAGAAACAAGUAGCACAAUACACAAAAAACAUGAAGACCAUAACCAAGGGGCGAUCAACCAUUUAAUACCACAAGAGCCAUCUCGCUCAAAUUCUGCCCCAAGGCCAAAAUAGAACCUCAUCACGUGUGUAAAUAGUCAACAAUCUCACAAUCCAUCAUAGAAUAGGAGAGUAACAGAUUGAACAUAUUAGAAUACGAAUAAGUUCAACCCUAACAGAUGACACACCCCACAACAAUAGUUGUGCUGAGUAAACAAAUCCGACCCGAUGUAGAAUGCACAUUCUCAUUAGGCCUACCAGUGGCCUCCAAAUCAAUUCUGAUCCUCCCGAGUAGAUAACCUUUAAAAAUUACACAGUGACCUAUCCAUGACAAAAUACCACCAGCUGUCUAACCUCGGCCAUACCCUCACAGUCCACAACUAAGAGAUAGUCUGCCUAUGAGAACUCCAGUCUCCAAAUACCUAGAAUGCUAGAAUUACCAUAUCCGAUCCCAACUCGACUACUUGAGUGACUGACACCACCCUCAUACACAAUCAUCACAUACAAAAUACUUCCAAAAUUCUUUCGUGCCCCAUAGCUAAAUCCGAACAUUAGCAAUCGAUCAACCAGCCGAUUACUGUAAUACUAGUCAAGCAUCCGCAAGUCAAAACACCGUGCGUCUUCUGAAAUGCGCACCUUUCUCCGGUAAUACCAGAUAGUGCCAUCAUUCUCCUAAAUAUAUGAAACCAUCAAUGCUGUCUAAAACUCAUGACCUUCCCUUGGAAUAGAAUCACAUCCUUGUACUUGCAACCACAAUACCACACGUCACACCGUAUCUAUUAUGCCAUCUUAUGAAAACACAAGAACCCCAUUAUCAACUCUAAAUCACAAGCAGGAUACACAUUCUGUCAGCCAGAAACCUUCCACCGCACUAACGAAUCGAUUGUCGUUAUUACUAUGAUGACCCAUUCUUCAAGUUCCUCUUGACUUGCCUUCAAGUUAACACUUCUCCUUGAUAGUGCACUUUGAUCCUUAAUCCCAAGCUCACCACAAGUAAUUCCUGCAUGAAACCACGCCGUCCUAAAGCCCAUAGGCUGAUUAUUCCCUCUUAAACACCCAAUAGUACCACAACCGUGAUACCCACGCCGAAGAGACCUUCUGUGAAUCUGAAGUUGUUUCCUUAACAUCUUAGGUAUUGAAAUUCAAAACCCAUAAUGAUACAAAAAUACCACAAGUAUCGGGCAUCAUACCAUGCAAGUCUCAGAUCUUAGCCAAAUAAAAAUUCCGAGAAUCCUCAAAUACCACAUAUGAAUCUUGAACUCAAUAUAACCUUCUCGAAUGUUAUCCACUCUCCUCUAAUCUUCAAUGCACCACCAUUACGAGCUGAAAAACUAGUGCUCCAUUAGCACACUACCUCCACUAUGAAUAAUAAACCUGAAUCAUUCUAAGAUUUCCAUAUGCCCAUAAAGUAUAGCACAUUAUGCAUCUGUCAAUUCCCUCGCUCAAGUCACUCUCAAAACCCACCUUUUUAAUUUAUAAUUGAUCCCCAAGUAUGCCUCACACUGAAACUAAUAUAACACAUGACCAUACAAUCUGAUCGUCAAUAGUAGACUCCCCCACUAGGAUCAAAGCCAAAGAACAUAGUCCCAUAAUCCACAAUACCCUUACUUCAUAAUUUCAAUAAUCCCACACUUUAAUUCAACAAAAAUUCUUCAAACGCUCAUGUUGCUCUAAUCAUAAAGUACCUCAAAUCAUCUACUAAGCAUACAUUCAUUCUCAUGACAGUCAUAUGGGCUCCCUCAAGUAAUCUGAACUCUAAGUGUAGCACACACAUCCCACUGGGUAGAAAGAAAACCGUUGACAUAAACAUCAUAAGGAUCACACAACCUCAGAACAUCCCGCAGGAGAUAACCCACCUGCUUAGCCUCAAACUAGCAUCUCUCUAUGCCCUAUCAUGGUCUCGACCACUAUACAAUCACUUGAUCCUCCCCAUGCUCUCACCCUUUUUUACUCAAAGUAUCGGCCACCACAUUGGGCUUUCCCGGAUGAUAAAGAAUGUUAAUAUCAUACUCCUUUAGUAGCUAUAACCACCUCUGUUGCCUCAAGUUUUGAUCCUUUUGCUUGAAUAAGUGCUGGAGGUGCCUCUGACCUGUGAACACCUCACAGGACACGCCGUAAAGAUAAUGCCUCCCAAUCUUGAGCGCGUGAACAAUAGCUGCCAAUUCCAAAUCAUAUACAAGGUAAUUCUUCUCAUGAGGCUUCACCUAACGUGAAGCAUAAGAAAUAACUCAACCCUCCUGCAUCAACACACAUCCAAUGCCAAUAUGUGAAGGAUCACAAUAGACUGUAUAAGAACCCAACCCUGAAGGCAAAACCAGAACCAGAGCUCUGGUCAAGGUAGUCUUGACCUUCUGAAAAAUCCCUUCACACUCAUUGGACCACCUGAAUGGUGCACCCUUCUGCGUCAAUAUAGUCAAUGGUGCAACUAUAGAUGAAAUUUCCUCCAAAAAAUGCCAAUAAUACCCGGCCAACACAAGGAAACUCCAAAUCUCCAUAGAAGAUGACAGUCCGGGAUAACACAGAACUGCCUCAAUCUUCUUCCAAUCUACCAUAAUCCCCUCACUAGAAACUACGUGGCAUAAGAAUGCCACUGAAUCAAGCCAAAACUCACACCUGGAGAAUUUAUCAUAUAGCUUCUUCUCCUACAACGUCUGGAGCACGAUCCUUAAAAGGUGCUCAUGAUCCUUCCGGCUACGAGAAUUCACAAAAAUGUCAUCAAUGAACACGAUGAUGAAGGAAUCAAGAUAUGGCUAGAACACGUUAUUCAUCAAGUGCAUACCAGUUGCUGGGGCAUUGGUCAACUAAAAAGACAUCACCAAAAAGUCGCCUUUGGAAUAUCUAAAGACCAUAUCUUCGACCGAUGUUACCCCAAUCUCAAAUCAAUCUUAGAGAAUACUCUAGCACCCUAAAGCUGAUCAAAUAAAUGAUCAAUACACGGUAGUGGCUACUUGUUCUUGACUGAAACUUUGUCCAACUGCUUGUAGUCAAUGAUCAUCCCCAUAGAACCAUCUUUAUUAUUCACAAAUAUUACCGGUGCACACCAAGGAGACACGCUAGGACUGAUGAAACCCUUAUCAAGUAACUCUUGUAACUAUUCCUUCAACUCCUUCAACUCUACUGGUGCCAUGCGAUAUGGUAGACUAGAGAUGGGCUGAGUGCCCGCCACCAGAUCAAUACCAUAAUCAAUAUCCCUGUCAGGUGGCAUGCUCGACAGGUCUACAGGAAACAUGUCUAGAAACUCCCUCACCAUCGGAACUGACUCAACUAUAGGAGUAUCGGCACUAACAUUCCUCACGUAGGCAAAAUACGUGAAACACCCCUUAUUAACCAUCAAUUGAGCCUUCAAAUAUGAAAUCACUCUACUGAGAACAUGAUUAAGGGAGCCUCUCCACUCCAACCUCGGCAACCCCGGCAUUGUCAAUGUCACGGUCUUAGCGUGAUAAUCAAGAAUGGCGUGAUAUGGAGACAACCAAUCCAUGCCCAAAAUCAUGUCAAAUCCACCAUGCUAAGCAAUAAAAUAUCAAAUCCGGUCAUAUAACCCCCAAUGGUCACCACACAAGACCGAUAUACACGAUCCACCAAAAUAGAAUCACCCACUAGUGUAGAUACAUGAAUGGGCAUAUCUAUAGAAUCACGAGGCGAAUCCAAAAAAGGAGAAAAGUAUGAUGACAUAUACGAAUAAGUGGAACCAAGUUCAAAUAACACUAAAGCAUCUUGGUGGCACACGGAAAUAAUACCUGUAAUCACGAUGUCAGAAGCAACUGCCUCUGACCUGUGGGGAAAUGCAUAGCAACGUGCUUGACCACUGCCUAACUAACCUCCCCCUCUAGGGUGACCUCGACCCGUACGACCUCCACCUUGAGCUGGCUGAGCGGGUGGUGUAGCAACUGGUGCAGGAGUCAUACUUUGACCUCUUUGCUACGUGCGAUCUCUAAUAAGAUGGCGGAAAUACCUCCACACAUGCCCCAACAACCAUCACUCGUAGAAACCUUGACCUUGAGAAGACUACGGGGCUUGAAUCGGACCCCGGGAACCAGAAUCACCUCUGGAAGAGGUCGAUAUUGAUGAACCCAGAAAUGGUAGAGUAUCAUACAAGUUUUAAUAUAGGAUUGCACUGGAUGAUAAAUAAACUGGCCGAGCACUGUAUGAACUGUGGCUAGCUGAAGAACCAUGAGGAACUUGACUAGCUGUUUGAGCGAGCCUAAAAGGAUGACCUCUGCUGUGAUGUGACCGGCCUAUACACGAGGCACUGCUAAUACCACCUGAACCACGAGGCCUCUUGGCCUCCCACUCCUCUCCAUUGAGCAUGCGAACCUGCUCCAAGCGCCUAGCAAUAUUAACCACUUGGUCAUGCCUGACAUCCGUCUCGGCCUCUCGAGCCAAACUGUAACGUAGACCAUAGUUGAGGCCAUCAAUGAAUAUCCUGAUCCACUUUCUCUCUCUCGGUGGUAACCAACCAUACUGCAUGACAAGCCAAAUCCGCAAAUCUUAUCUCAUACUGGGUCACAGUCAUAUCUCCCUCGCGUAGCUACUCAAACUCCCAAUGCAACUCCUCUCUGUGAGUCCGUGGAACAAACUUCUCUAAGCAAGGAACUGAGAAGUCGUGCAAUGCAAGUUGUGCUGUGUCAGCUACCCUUCUUGACUCAUAGGUCGGCCAUCAUCUGUAGGCUGCCCCUGUUAGCUGAAAGGUAGUAAAUGUAACUUCACUAGUGUCCAUAAUACCCGCUAUAUGAAUAAUCCGCUAACUUCGAUCCAUAACACCCGGAGCAUCCCCUGACUCUACUCAACUGAACUCGGGAGGGACAAGCCUCUUAAACUGAUCCAACCUCUUCAGCUCCUCGCCAGACAUAGGAUGACUGAUCUCGGCCCAAGAAACAAUAACUGGCUGAACUGGUAACACCCAUAGUGUCGGAUAACCCUAAGCUAGUUGCUCUCCCGCAGCUCGUGAGGUAGAUGGUGCAACUAGUAUCAUACCGCCCGAGCCAAGCUCGUGUACACACCGAUGAUCUAAGCCAAAGUCUCUUGAAGACUAGGCAUAGCAUUAGGCACCGCCGGUGUCUGAGCUGGUCCCACUGGAUCAAUAGUAUUUGGAACUUGCUCUUCUAUUGGAGCAACUGGUGGCUCCACAGGUGCUGCUCUAGCUGUAGCGCGAGCCCCACCUCGGCCUCUACAUCGGCUCCAGCCUCUCACGGCCAUAACUGGUGGCACUGGUGCCUGAUCGGUUGAACGUGUCCUCACCAUCUGUGAGAGAAUAGAAGAGUAAUGUUUUAGACUUCAGAGUUAACAAUUCCGCACGACAAGGAUGCAAGAAAGAAAAUUUUCCUAAUAGUUUGGUAACCUCUUGAAGAUAAGUACAGAUGUCUCCGUAACGAUAUGCAAGACUUUACUAAACUUGCUCAUGACUCGUGAGACCAAGGAAACCACGUUCUAUGAUAUCAAAUUGUCACGACCCAACUCCAACCGGGGCCGUGACGGCGCCUAACACUACUUGCUAGGCAAGCUAACAGUUUCACAAUAAUAAUGAACUUAGUAAAGCAGAUACAAUCUCAACAGUGGAAAUAUCAUGAAAUAUUAGAGAAAAACAACUUUAAUACUCAACCAUCCCAAUGAUCCGGUGUCAACAAGCACAUGAAAACUUUUGAAUGUCAAAAUACAAGGCCAAAUCCUCAAUACAACUAUCUGAACAAAAGAAUAGUAAUAAUAAAAAUAAAUGAAAGAGAAACUCCAAGGUAUGUGGAUGAAAAAGUAGCCACCUCGUAGUCUCCUCAACUAGUAUUGGUGCGAACACUACCAAUCGCCAUGCCCAGAAUUACCUAGAUAUGCACAUGAAGUGAAGAGUGUAGUAUGAGUACAACAGACCCCAUGUACUCAAUAAGUGACAAAUCUAACCUUGGGUUGAAAGCAGUGACAGACUCGGAAGAACAGUUAGUGACCAACAUCAAUAAUCAGUAACAACUCAGGAUAUAAAGGAAAUAAUGUGUAUAAAUAACUCACUGAUAUCAUGCUCAUCUCGUUCACGAUUGCAAAAAUUUUGACAUGCUUUCCAAGUAUAACAGAUAAAUCUCAACACAAAUAUGACAUUUCACUUACCAGCUAGCAUGACAUCUCUAUUUCUGUAUGUUAAUGCAGAUGUCAAGUCAAUAACUACACUCUCUUAGCACUCUCACGGUUCCUGGCACAAAUGGCCCUCACUAUCACACACAACCACACUCAGCACUAAGGAUAUAACCACAAUUAAGGCUAACAUCUCAAAGCAACAAGAAUAGCCCUACCAUGUCCCAAAUAAUUAGAAACGUACCCUAGACAUGAUUUCUAAAAUGAAUCAUAGCUCAAAUAAUCAUACAAGUAGAGAGAAAUAUGGAUAUAACGAGGUAUCACAGUGGAACAAGUCCUGUAAUAGUCUAAACUCCACUCGGAUCAUGAAUACCCCGGUGUACGCACACACUCCCGUCACCUAGAAUGUGCAUCACCCAAGUUUAGGUAUGUUACUUAGCUCAAAACACGGGAAUUAAUACUCCAAAAAGCCCUUCUCACGUAUAUCGACCUCCGAAUGACUCGAAUCUUGUCAAAAUAACUUAAUAUCAUCAAUAGAAACCAUAGUAGACAAUCCCAAGCAAUAAAGCUAAGGUCUUUAUUCAAUUGUGCAAAGUCAACCCAAAAGGUCAACCCCGGGCCCGCAUCCCCGAAAUUUUAUGAAACUUACAAAUUCCGAACACCCAUUGCGAUACGAGUCCAAAUAUAUGUGUUUCACCCAAGUCCAAUCUCAAAUCGACCUUCAAAUCAUCAUAUCUCACUCUUCAAAAUCAUAGUAAAAAAUCCCAAAUUUCACCUUAAAUUCACAUAAACUAGGUGUAAUAAUCUAUGAGUAAUCAAUAUCUAACAUCAAAAUUGAAUAAACUUCACUUUCCUCUGCAAUUGUAGUGAAACGUCUCUCAAAAAGUAACCCUUACCCGAACUCCAUAACUCCCAAAAUGAGAAAGCAAUCAAACCCUUCAAAAUUUAUUACCGCUAGUGAUUCUGCAUGUGCGGUCACUUGACCGCAUCUGCAGCUCUUCUUCUACCGAUAGAAUCUUGCAUUUGUGGUCUUGCUCAAAUACAUGACAUUCCCUUUUGCGACCAACCCUACACAUCUGCGGCUAUUCCUUCGCUGAUGCGACUUUGCACCUAUGCCCUGCCUCCCACACCUGCGAUUUUCCUCGACCUCCAGCCUUGCUCGCUUCUGUGGCCCCUUGCCCGCAUUAGCAGACUAGCAUCUGGGACCGAUCCUCCGCAGGUGUGAAACCACCAGACUCAGCAACACUUCAGCCAUGCAACACGACUCCAAAACAAGUCGAAACCAACCCGAAACAAAGCCGAGGCCCCCGGGACCUGUCCAACCAUUCCAGCCAAUCCUAAAACAUAAUACGAACCUACUCAAACCCUCAAAUAAUAUUAAAUGACAUCAAAACCAUGAAUCGCACCACAAUUCAAGCCUAAUGAACAAAUAAACUUCCGACUUUCAAAAGUCAUGCCAAACCAUAUCAAUUCAAUUUGGAAUGACCUCAAAUUUUAUACACAUAUGUCCCAAAUGAUACAAAUGACCUAUUCUGACUCCUGGAACCAAAAUCUGAACCCGAUAUAAACAAAGUGAACUCUUGGUCAAGUCUAUCAACCUUCCAAACUUUCAACUUCCAACUGUCGCCAAAAAGCAUCAAACCAACCUACGAACCUUCAAAUCCAAAUCCGGACACAAGCCUAAGUCCAAAGACACCAUACAAAGCUAUUGGAACCAUAAAACACCAUUCCGGAGUCAUCUACACAAAAGUCAAAUUCUAGUAAACUCUUACAACUUAAGCUUCCAACCAUGGGACUAAAUAUUCCAAUUCACUCCAAAUCCUCCCUGAAACAAAACUAACAACCCUGAGAAGUCAUGUAUCCUCAAAUACAAAUUAGUAAAGCAUAAAAUAGAGGAAACGGGGCUAUAAUACUCAAAACGACUGGCCAGGUCGUUAUACGAACCGCCAACAUCACGAAAAUAAAUCUGACCUUGAAGUCGCAACACACCGUCCGCACUAAGGACCACCUCCUUAGCAGUACCUCGCAACACCGUGUCCCUACGUCAAUAAAAUGGAAACCAUCAUACUCACGAUCCUUAAUGCAUUCAAAGCAGGACUACUGUACAACAACACAAGCAAGACCUUUACUAAGUUCAGAAAUACCCAAUCUCGAACAUUUAUUAACCAAAUCCUGAAUAUUCAUAGCCCAAAUGCCUCUCCUCUACUGGAAUAAAUGGCAAACUCCAAAUUGUGAACCCAAUUGUUCUUCUUAUGGGGUUGCUAUUGUCGCAAGCUUAAGCAAUUACCCUACCAUUCUGCACCAACACUGCGUUGAGUCCAACACAUGAAUCAUCACAAUACAUUGUAUAAGGCCUUGAUCCCAUGGGUAAUACCAACAUUAGCGACAACCCCUCCGUAAAGUGACAAUAAUAGUCCAUUCUCGUACAUAGAGGAAAAACAUCAUGCUCAACAUCUUUAUAGUCAUCACAACUUGUUGGUGAAUAAAUGAUAUCGAGUACUCAACAUCACAUACAAAUGAAUGGAAAAGAGCUGAAGCUAUAUAUUUCAAGUCGAGACAAAGUACCAGGAUAAGGAAUCAAGAAAGGGAAAGUUCCUAAAGCCCUAUAGCCCAUCGAAGAUAAGUAUAGACAUAUUUGUACCGAUCGACAAGACUCUAUUAGGCAUGCUUAUAACUCGUAAGACCUUUGGGAACCUAGUGCUCUAAUACCAACUUCUCACGAUCCAAAAUUCCACUAAAACUGUGUUGGCGUGUAACACCACUUGCUAGGCAACCAAACAACAAAUAUGCGGAAAUGAACUUUGAAAAUGACAAGAAAUAGUCUCAAGUAGCGGAAUAGUAUAAAUAAAUGAAGUCAUAAUGUUAAUACAACUGACACCACCCAAAAUAUGGUGUCAUCGAGUACAUGAGGUCUAUAGAGUGCAAAAUACAAAGUCUGAAGAACAUACAAUACUGCUUGGAAGAUUAAAUAGUAAUAACACAAGAUAAAGGAGGGAUUUUUAAGACCUGCAAAUGGAACAAUAGUUCUACCUCAAAAUCUCCAAGCAAACCCGUAUCAGCAACACCUGGAUCUGCACACUAAGUGCAAACUAUAUUAUGAGUACAACUGACCCCAUGUACUCAGUAAGUAGCAAGACUAACCUCAGAGAAAGCAGUGGUGAGGUAUGCAAAGUCCAAUGCUCACUUUCAGCAACCAACAACCACAAUAAUUGCAUAAUAGUGGCAUAUAAAGAAAAUCCGUUCAAAUAAUAGUAGGCUCCACUCGAACACAUUAAUAGGAGAAAUAAGCAUGCUUUUUUGGUAUAUCAGUGUUACAUCUCAUACCUUAGCUUUAGGAUGUGCCAUAGUAAAUUCAUAUGAGUUCGAAGGGAUUAUGUCUAUUGGGANNNNNNNNNNNNNNNNNNNNNNNNNNNNNNNNNNNNNNNNNNNNNNNNAAAAAGUAUAUAAAAAAUAAGUAGAAUUUUAAGUAAUUUAAGACAAUUCUUAAUUAUGCGGGUAACGGGACACUACCUAAUUACCUAAUAAGUAAAUAAAGAUUAACAUUUCCCACCCCCACCCCAACGUGGCAGCAAGCCAAUUCUUGGACAAUGACUCUUAGUCAUUUUGGUUAGGUGGCAAAAUGACUACAAAACACUUCAUUUUCUAUAUAUCUUGAACACAAGACACUAUAACCAAAAUCCCUACAAUUUCUUAUACACCCUACAAUCAGAAGCGAGAAGUUAGCAAUUCUUAUAAGUUUAUGAUUAGGUGUGAACGCGAUUUGUGAUUCUUAUAAGUCUUAUAGGUAAUUUGUGAUUAGAUCAGAACGUUAGCAAUUUAUCACUUCCUACAAAUAUUUAACAAAACUCCUUGCAACAAAAUAAUUCCAACGAGAAUUAUUAGCACAUUAGCAACGUGAGAGUUUGCGAUUUUAAAGGAGUACGGUGCAACCUUUUUCAAGAAUAUCAUACAGAUUUCUCCCUACUCCAGGUAUGUUAAGGCUAAUCCUUCUUUCUUUUGGCAUGAUCCAAGUGACGAUACGUAAACUUAAUGCUAUUCCAUAAGUGGUUCUACUCUUAGCAGUUAAGGAUGUCCAUGUUAUUCAUUCCUGUAAAGUUAUAUUCAAGUAUGUUGCUAAGUCUAUAUUGAGGCGUACGAUAAAGAUGUUAAUGUUUAUAAUAUAGUGCGACAUGCAUCUUCAUGCAUUUCCCACUGUGCUACGGCUGGUCGGGCAGUUACCAUCGGUUGGCCAGUUAUGUAUAAUUAUUUACCACCAGUUGGGCAGUCGUGCAUAUUUAUUUACCACCGAGCUACGGCCGGUUGGGCAGUUACACAAUUACUAUCGAGCUACGGCCGGUUGGGCAGUUACAUAUUUACCACCGAGCUACGGCCGGUCGGGCAGUCAUGCAUUUACCACCGAGCUACGGCCGGUUGGGCAGUUAUAUAUUUACCACCGAGCUACGGCCGGUCAGGUAGUUACCACUGAUCAGUUGGGCAGUCAUGUAUCAUACGAUAUGGAUAAUAGUAUCAAAGAGAAGCAUUGUAUUUAUGUAAGUAUAAUAAGUAUGCAUAUACGGUGGCACUUCAGAGAUUCAGGUUGAUUCUUAUAUGUCUUUAAUUAAUGUUGACUUACUGUUAUGUUUCAGUUCUGCCUUACAUACUCAGUACAUUAUUCGUACUGAUGUCCUUUUGUUGGGGACACUGCAUUCAUGCUUGCAGGUAUAGAUAAUCAGUUUGAUGAGCCCUCAUAGUAGACUAGGUUGGCAUUCAACGAAGGAUCGGUAAGACUCUACCUCAUUCGGAGUGCAGCUGAGUCUAUGAGUCAUCAUGUCAGAGUUUUGCUACAGACUUAUGGGUAGGCCGGUACCCUGUCCUAUUUAAUGACAAAUAAUCUUAAAGGCUUUGAAGACAAAGGUUCAUUUUGUACAGUAUGUCAAAGGCCUUGACGACCCAUAUGUAUUCAUGUUUUAAGAAAAAUGGUUCAGUGAAAUAGUGUUUUCCACUUACAGUUGUACAUUAUGAGUUGUGGCCAUGUGGCCCCAUGAUAGUUACUAAAGGAAUGAGUCCGGCUAACUCGAACUAUAUAUGUUCUAUCUUUGGUUGAAUGAUCAUGAGUUACAGAUUGGUUCGCUCGGGCCAGCACGACACCGGGUGCCAGCCACGCCUCCCCAGGUUUGGGGCGUGACAAUCAGUCAAAGCAUCAACCUUUCCGCAAAAUUCAGCUAGAAGAGAUUUAUAAAGAUAAACUAUGAUUCCAAGCUCUAAAUAUCAAAUAUCAAUUAGCACGAGUAAAAUACAACUCUAUGCCUUCUUGGCAAAUAUACAUGCU